GAUGAGCAGCUAUUAUUAAUGCUGAAUAACAUAGCCAGCACUCUCAGAGAUGAACCCAACACUACUGAGCAAUCUCCGAACUGUCCAAAUUUCCCCAUCGGCCUGGAAGAAGAGUUUUUUGCUCUAGAAGAUUUUAUUAAAAAUCGCGAGCACGAAAAAUUCAUGGUGACAAGGUUGAAGUCCAUUGGUGGAAAUUCUGCUGAGGACCAUACGAGAAGAAUAUUGAAGUUUCUGAUGAGAAAUGAGCUGGCUUGUCUCUUCAAUUGGCGAGGAACCGAUAAAAAACCUUUUAAGGUACAAAAAUUAUGCAAAUAAUUUAUGUUGCUGUGAAAAAAUAAUUUUCAUCCGCAACCGACAGUGAAAUCGAAAUUGCAACAAAGGAUUGGCUGAAGUUCGCAAAAAAAAAGAUUAAAUGACGCAAAAAAAAAGACUCGCUUGAACAGAAAAAUGAGAUAAAUCAUCAGAAUUGUUCCUUAUUUUUUGUGAAUAUUUUAUUUUUGUUCAUUUUCUUCUUGUCCAACACCUAAAUUUCAUUACAAAAACAAUCAAAAACCUGUCUCUUUAUCCCAACCUGUUCAGGAAUACCAAAUUGUGUAUCCCUAAUUGAAGUAUCAAAAUACCACUCAACACACUAAGUUGAAUAAAGAUGAAAAUUCUAAAACAAUAAUUUUAUCCUCAUCAUUAAAAGUAGCUUGAAAUAUUAUUCAGGUUUCAUGCAUCAGCUAUUCAAAUGAUUUCAGAAUUUCAAAAUAUAUUACAAAUUAUUAUUUCCAAUUUAAAAUGCAU